GCCAGCAUGGCUUAGUGGUUUGAGUGUUGGUCUAUCACUCGGGAGACCAGGGUUCAAAUCCCAUCUUGGCC